rnacentral:rRNA from 1 species
CCUACGGGUGGCAGCAGUGAGGAAUAUUGGUCAAUGGACGAGAGUCUGAACCAGCCAAGUAGCGUGAAGGAUGACUGCCCUAUGGGUUGUAAACUUCUUUUAUAUGGGAAUAAAAUGUUCCACGUGUGGGCUUUUGUAUGUACCAUAUGAAUAAGGAUCGGCUAACUCCGUGCCAGCAGCCGCGGUAAUACGGAGGAUGCGAGCGUUAUCCGGAUUUAUUGGGUUUAAAGGGAGCGUAGGUGGCUUGUUAAGUCAGCGGUAAAAUCCCGGGGCUCAACCCCGGCGAGCCGUUGAAACUGGCGGGCUGGAGUUGGAGAGAAGUACGCGGAAUGCGCGGUGUAGCGGUGAAAUGCUUAGAUAUCGCGAAGAACCCCGAUUGCGAAGGCAGCGUACCGGCUCCACACUGACGCUGAGGCACGAAAGCGUGGGUAUCGAACAGGAUUAGAUACCCGAGUAGUC